GAAAUCCCACUUCCAGCUAGAUGUCUGCAUGAACUACUGAAAGCUGCUGAGUGUCUUGCAGCAGGUGAGCUGUGGCCAGAGCUCAAGGAUGAAGGGGACUCCCUCACUCUGUGACUGUGAAGAGGAAGCCUGAGGUGUAGCAGGCCCAGGUCCCAGAAGUAUGGAAAAAAUGAGCAUUUCAUCCCAAAGAUGCAGCCGACUUGAUUGUGGUGGAUAAGCUUUUUGAUGUGCUGCUGGAUUCUGUUUGCUAGUAUUUUAUUAAGAAUUUUUGCAUUAAUGUUCAUCAGGGAUAUUGGCCUGGAUUGAGCAGGCCAUUUCCAAUCCAGCGGAAGACCUUCUAGAAGAGGUGAUGGGUGGGAGAGUGCUGGCAUACUAUGUGAAGCUACUAUUUGGAGUUGGACACGAGUGCAUGUGACCUUGUGCCACAGCGGGAAUGUGAGCUGGAUGACAAAUGGAGAUUUGGACUUGUGAUAAUUGGCCUCUGUGUCAUUGUGUGGAAGACUGACUGGUCCCUUUAUUUCCUGUAGCUUGACUACCACACAAAUGAAUCCACUCAAAUGUUGGCAAGUGGAGCAGAGUCCCAGGACAGGUACAGAAACACCCCCAGUUCAAGGAUCUUCACACCUGGAUUUAGGCCUACUCCUGCAACUACCCCAGGCCAGUUAUCCAGGCAGUGACUUUCAGUGCAGCUACAGUCACCUCUGGAAACCUGCGGAGACUUUAAAAAUUUCCAGAAGGUCAGGAAUUUUUGGAGACCUUUCUCAUGGCUACAUUGCCUGCAAAGGUGAAUCAAUAAGCUUCUGAACUGACUUAGAAAAUGUUGCAGAGACUCUUGUGAACAGAUAGACCCUCUCCUGCCACUCAGAUAGACGUAUCAGGGUCACACACACCUGAUUUAACAACAUGUCAUUAUCUCAGGUGGGCAACAGACAGCAAUUUAGGACCUAUCCCAGUGUGGAUGAAAGACAUUGAGUUGGCU
rnacentral:lncRNA from 1 species